rnacentral:rRNA from 1 species
UCAGACGAUGCGUCAUGCAUAUCAAUAAGCGGAGGAAAAGAAACUAACAAGGAUUCCCCUAGUAACGGCGAGUGAAGCGGGAAGAGCUCAAAUUUGAAAUCUUCAAGGUUCUGACCUUGACGAAUUGUAGUUUAAAGAAGUGUUUUCUGUUGGAAGUUUUGGUAAAAGUUCUUUGGAAAUAGGACAUCAUAGAGGGUGAGAAUCCCGUAUUUGACCAUUAUUUUCAGCUGUGUGAUACACUUUCAAAGAGUCGGAUUGUUUGGGAAUGCAGUCCAAAAUGGGUGGUAAAUUUCAUCUAAAGCUAAAUACUGGCGAGAGACCGAUAGCGAACAAGUACCGUGAGGGAAAGAUGAAAAGAACUUUGAAAAGAGAGUUAAACAGUACGUGAAAUUGUCAAAAGGGAAGCGUUUGACACCAGUGUUGUUUUCCUCGAAAAUCAAUUAAAAAGAGCUGGAUUUUGUGUUGUAUUGACUUUAUCAGCUUUCUGCACUUUUUUCUUGUCUUUUUUAAUGCACUUUUCGUUUAACAAGUCAACAUCAAUUUCUUUUAUUGUAAAAGGGUCAUUGGAAGGUGGCUUUCUCUUCGGAGAAAGUGUUUAUAGCCUUUGAUCUCUGCAAUCGGAGAGACUGAGGUCUGCAGCGUAGAUCCUUCGGGGUUAGAUACAUUUGUGCUAAGCUACAGCUUUUCAUAGACAACUUGUUGACUAUGUUUAGUCUUGUAACUUACCCGCUUAUGCUAUUUUACCUACGCUUAGGAUGUUGAUAUGCAUGACUGAUAU